AAAAUGCGAUAAGUAGUGUGAAUUGCAGAAUUUAGUAAAUUAUCAAAUCUUUAAACGCACAUUGCGCCCUAUAGUAUUCUGUAGGGCAUGCCUGUUUAAGCGUUAUUUAAACCUUUAAGCUCUGCUUGGUGUUAGGCGCCUGUCUUGCCUUACAGCGCAGACUCGCCUCAAAUCUAUUAGCGGCCAGCACGUUGGCUUCAAGCGCAGCAGAAACGCGAACUUGAGGCUGGCGGACUAGCUCCUAGAAGCAAACCCCUAUGAAUUUGACCUUAGAUUAGGUAGGGAUACCUGCUAAACUUAA
rnacentral:misc_RNA from 1 species